AACUAUGGUUUUAGACCUUCAGUGAACCUGUAGAGCUGACGCUGGUGAUGAAUGUUUAGCCAGAUAAUUACUCCUGAUGGAUAGUCAGGUAAACAUCCUCAGUUGUAAACUUCUAUUUCAAUUGAUGCUUUGAUCUUUCAUAUGAACGUGUGAUGAAUUUUGUAGCACGCGAUCAUGUAUUCUGAAAGAUGUUUAAGUGCUGAGGACAAAGAGAAGACACACAGAAGGACAGACACAGAAGGACUGAACAGAAGGACAGACACAGAAGGACUGAGCUGGAGAGGGACUGAGCUGAAGAGUCGGGUUUGAGCUAAGGAGAACUGAGCUAAAAAGAUCUGGGCUGAGAAGAAAUGCAGAGAGGAAUAACUUAGAGACUAUAGGUAACAUAAGAGAGCAAUGUGCAGAAUGCAGAGGAAAAGAGGAAAAAAGAAGAAGCUGGAGAGAGCAGAAGGAGCAGGCAGGUUUCUCCUUACCAUGGGACAGAACAGGCCAUUUCUCAAUAGUAAGGCAGGCUUAGUCUUAUUAAAAGGAACAAACCUUUUCUCUUACAAACUUGGGUUUAAUUCACUUAGCAUUAAAAGUGUAGAAGCGAUUUCUUUCUCUAUGUAAUAAAGAUUGGAGC
rnacentral:lncRNA from 1 species